UAGGCCUUAGCUUAAUUAAAGCGUUUGGUUUGCAUUCAGAAGAUGUAUAUUAGAAUUAUACAGGUCUUA
rnacentral:tRNA from 1 species